UACGUAGGGUGCGAGCGUUAAUCGGAAUUACUGGGCGUAAAGCGUGCGCAGGCGGUUUUGUAAGACAGAUGUGAAAUCCCCGGGCUCAACCUGGGACCUGCAUUUGUGACUGCAAGGCUAGAGUGCGGCAGAGGGGGAUGGAAUUCCGCGUGUGGCAGUGAAAUGCGUAGAUAUGCGGAGGAACACCGAUGGCGAAGGCAAUCCCCUGGGCCUGCACUGACGCUCAUGCACGAAAGCGUGGGGAGCAAACAGG
rnacentral:rRNA from 1 species